GAUGAACGCUGGCGGCGUGCCUAAUACAUGCAAGUCGAGCGAACAGACGAGGAGCUUGCUCCUCUGACGUUAGCGGCGGACGGGUGAGUAACACGUGGAUAACCUACCUAUCAGACUGGGAUCACUUCGGGAAACCGGAGCUAAUACCGGAUAAUAUAUUGAACCGCAUGGUUCAAUAGUGAAAGUCGGUUUUGCUGUCACUUAUAGAUGGAUCCGCGCCGCAUUAGCUAGUUGGUAAGGUAACGGCUUACCAAGGCAACGAUGCGUAGCCGACCUGAGAGAGGGGUCGGCCACACGAGAACGGGGACGCGGUCCAGACUACUACGGGAGGCAGCAGUAGGGAAUCGUCCGCAGUGGGCGAAAGCUUGACGGAGCAACGCCGCGUGAGUGAUGAAGAUCUUCGGAUCGUGAAACUCUGUUAUGGGGGAAGAACAAAUGUGUAAGGAGCUGUGCACGUCUUGACGGUACCUAAUCAGAAAGCCACGGCUAACUACGUG
rnacentral:rRNA from 1 species